AAACGACUCUCGGCAACGGAUAUCUCGGCUCAUGCAUCGAUGAAGAACGUAGCAAAAUGCGAUACUUGGUGUGAAUUGCAGAAUCCCGUGAACCAUCGAGUUUUUGAACGCAAGUUGCGCCCGAAGCCAUUCGGUCGAGGGCACGUCUGCCUGGGUGUCACGC
rnacentral:rRNA from 1 species